rnacentral:rRNA from 1 species
AGCAGCCGCGGUAAUUCCAGCUCCAAUAGCGUAUAUUAAAGUUGUUGCAGUUAAAAAGCUCGUAGUUGAAUUUCGGGAUUGACACAUCGGUCGUGCCUUAAGGGGUAUGAACUGGUGUAGUCAAUUUCUCACCUUCUGGAGAACCGCGAUGCCCUUAAUUGGGUGUCACGGGGAACCAGGACCUUUACUUUGAAAAAUUAGAGUGUUUAAAGCAGGCAUUUUGCUUGAAUACAUUAGCAUGGAAUAAUAAAAUAGGACGGCAUGAUUCCAUUUUGUUGGUUUCUAGGAUCACCGUAAUGAUUAAUAGGGAUAGUUGGGGGCAUUAGUAUUCAAUUGUCAGAGGUGAAAUUCUUGGAUUUAUUGAAGACUAACUACUGCGAAAGCAUUUGCCAAGGAUGUUUUCAUUAAUCAAGAACGAAAGUUAGGGGAUCAAGGACGAUCAGAUACCGUCGUAGUCUUAACCAUAAACUAUGCCGACUAGGAAUCAGACGAUGUAAUUUUUUAAUGACUCGUUUGGCAC